GGAAGCCAGUGAAAUUCUGGUGCGGUCGCGCCACUGUAAUCGCCGGAACAGCGAAAGCCAGAC
rnacentral:ncRNA from 2 species